GACGAACGCUGGCGGCGUGCUUAACACAUGCAAGUCGAACGGUAAGGCCCUUCGGGGUACACGAGUGGCGAACGGGUGAGUAACACGUGGGUGAUCUGCCCUGCACUUUGGGAUAAGCCUGGGAAACUGGGUCUAAUACCGGAUAGGACCACUGCCUGCAUGGGUGGGGGGGGAAAGCUUUUGCGGUGUGGGAUGGGCCCGCGGCCUAUCAGCUUGUGGGUGGGGUAAUGGCCUACCAAGGCGACGACGGGUAGCCGGCCUGGGAGGGUGACCGGCCACACUGGGACUGAGAUACGGCCCAGACUCCUACGGGAGGCAGCAGUGGGGAAUAUUGCACAAUGGGCGCAAGCCUGAUGCAGCGACGCCGCGUGAGGGAUGAAGGCCUUCGGGUUGUAAACCUCUUUUAGCAGGGAAGAAGCGAAAGUGACGGUACCUGCAGAAAAAGCACCGGCUAACUACGUGCCAGCCGCCGCAGUAA
rnacentral:rRNA from 1 species